GCGGGUGUAGUACAGUGGCAGUACGAUUGCUUCCCAAGCAAUAGACGGGAGUUCGAUCCUCCUCACCCGCUCAA
rnacentral:tRNA from 2 species